UACGGAGGGUGCAAGCGUUAUCCGGAUUCACUGGGCUUAAAGGGCGCGUAGGCGGUCGACCAAGUCCGGGGUGAAAUCUUUCGGCUUAACCGGAAAAGUGCCUUGGAUACUGGUCGGCUGGAGGGAGGUAGGGGCAGGUGGAACUUCCAGUGGAGCGGUGAAAUGCGUUGAUAUUGGAAGGAACGCCGGUGGCGAAAGCGACCUGCUGGACCUCUUCUGACGCUGAGGCGCGAAAGCUAGGGGAGCAAACGGG
rnacentral:rRNA from 1 species